rnacentral:rRNA from 1 species
UAGGGAAUCUUCGGCAAUGGACGAAAGUCUGACCGAGCAACGCCGCGUGAGUGAAGAAGGUUUUCGGAUCGUAAAACUCUGUUGUUAGAGAAGAACAAGGACGUUAGUAACUGAACGUCCCCUGACGGUAUCUAACCAGAAAGCCACGGCUAACUACGUGCCAGCAGCCGCGGUAAUACGUAGGUGGCAAGCGUUGUCCGGAUUUAUUGGGCGUAAAGCGAGCGCAGGCGGUUUCUUAAGUCUGAUGUGAAAGCCCCCGGCUCAACCGGGGAGGGUCAUUGGAAACUGGGAGACUUGAAUGCAGAAGAGGAGAGGGGAAUUCCAUGUGCAGCGGUGAAAUGCGUAGAUAUAUGGAGGAACACCAGUGGCGAAGGCGGCUCUCUGGUCUGUAACUGACGCUGAGGCUCGAAAGCGUGGGGAGCAAACAGG